rnacentral:rRNA from 1 species
CGGGGUGCAGCAGGCGCGAAAACUUUGCAAUAAGCGAAAGCUUGACAGGGCUAUCCCGAGUGCCAUCCGCUGAGGAAGGCUUUUACCCAGUCUAGAACGCUGGGGGAAUAAGGAGAGGGCAAGUCUGGUGUCAGCCGCCGCGGUAAUACCAGCUCUCCGAGUGGUGUGGAUGUUUAUUGGGCCUAAAGCAUCCGUAGCUGGCUAAGUUAGUCCCUUGUUAAAUCCACCGAAUUAAUCGUUGGAUUGCGGGGGAUACUGCUUGGCUAGGGGACGAGAGAGGCAGACGGUAUUUCCGGGGUAGGGGUGAAAUCCUAUAAUCCCGGGAAGACCACCAGUGGCGAAGGCUGUCUGCUAGAACGCGCCCGACGGUGAGGGAUGAAAGCUGGGGGAGCGAACCGGAUUAGAUACCCGGGUAGUCCCAGCUGUAAACGAUGCAGGCUAGGUGUUUGGACGGCCACGUGCCGUUCUAGUGCCGCAGGGAAGCUGUUAAGCCUGCCGCCUGGGGAGUACGAUCGCAAGAUGGAAACUUAAAGGAAUUG